rnacentral:rRNA from 1 species
CCUACGGGGGGCUGCAGUCGAGAAUCUUCCGCAAUGGGCGAAAGCCUGACGGAGCGACGCCGCGUGGAGGAUGAAGGCCUUCGGGUUGUAAACUCCUGUCACGAGUUAAGAAAGAGCUGCCACGAACAGUGGUAGAUCCUGACGUAAGCUCGAGAGGAAGCACUGGCUAACUCUGUGCCAGCAGCCGCGGUAAUACAGAGAGUGCAAACGUUGUUCGGAAUCACUGGGCUUAAAGAGCACGUAGGCGGCGCUACAAGUGUCGGGUGAAAUCCCACGGCUCACCCGUGGAACUGCCCGGCAGACUGUGGUGCUCGAGUGUGGUAGGGGAGAGCGGAACUCCAGGUGGAGCGGUGAAAUGCGUAGAUAUCUGGAGGAACACCGGUGGCGAAGGCGGCUCUCUGGUCCACAACUGACGCUGAGGUGCGAAAGCUAGGGGAGCAAACGGGAUUAGAUACCCCGGUAGUC